AAUAUUUUUUAUAUUUUUAUAUACUAGCUUCGUUAAAUUCUUCGUCAGUCUCCAUUUCGAAAUCUCGCGUUCACAUAUCCAAUGGACAUAUAUCCCAUAGAUGGAAAAAUCAAACUAUCGGCGAUCAUAGCCAGAUAAGAAGAAAUAUUGGUGAAGGGGAAAUAUCUGGAUUUCUCAAAGAAAAAAAAAUCAUAUUGUUCAUAUUGUAUUAUUUAUUUCCUCAGGAUUGAUCAAAUUUUUAUAGCACAUUAAUUUCAAUCUUUUCCAAAUAGUUGGUAGCCAUGUACUUGAUACACAACAGUGAUGCCAGAAUGCCCACGCUAGCAGCACGCAACCGUAGUGGAGAGGAUGACGCACACAAAUGCAAGCGCAAUCCCAUAUAUUGCAGCACCACGUCGUCUAAUUUGUUCUGUUAUUAUUUGCAAGGCCGCAUUACCGUAUAUUUCCGCUAGAUGCUCGUCACACAAAUUUAUAUUGCUCUCCAUUCCAAGUACCAAACUGAAAAUUAUAUAAAUCGGUUGUUGCUAGCGUUCUGGCAUCACUGCACACAAGCCGCAACUCAGCUUUUAAAUUAUGUAUACUUGUGUAAUGUUGUGUCAUUGUUAUAUAAAUAUGGAAAUAUAGAUGGAAAAAACCGUGCUAGGAGU